rnacentral:rRNA from 1 species
UGCCAGCAGCCGCGGUAAUACAGAGAGUGCAAGCGUUAAUCGGGAUAACUGGGCGUAAAGCGCACGUAGGUGGAAUCUUAAGUCGGAUGUGAAAGCCCUGGGCUCAACCUGGGAACUGCAUCCGAAACUGGGACUCUUGAGUAUAGUAGAGGGAAGUGGAAUUUCCGGUGUAGCGGUGAAAUGCGUAGAUAUCGGAAGGAACACCAGUGGCGAAGGCGACUUCCUGGACUAAUACUGACACUGAGGUGCGAAAGCGUGGGGAGCAAACAGGAUUAGAUA